AGCAGUCGCCGCGGUAAUACAGAGGGUGCGAGCGUUAAUCGGAUUUACUGGGCGUAAAGCGUGCGUAGGCGGCUUUUUAAGUCGGAUGUGAAAUCCCUGAGCUUAACUUAGGAAUUGCAUUCGAUACUGGGAAGCUAGAGUAUGGGAGAGGAUGGUAGAAUUCCAGGUGUAGCGGUGAAAUGCGUAGUGAUCUGGAGGAAUACCGAUGGCGAAGGCAGCCAUCUGGCCUAAUACUGACGCUGAGGUACGAAAGCAUGGGGAGCAAACAGGAUUAGAUACCCCUGUAGUCCCUGUCUCUUAUAC
rnacentral:rRNA from 1 species